rnacentral:rRNA from 1 species
UACGUAGGUGGCAAGCGUUGUCCGGAUUUACUGGGCGUAAAGGGCGUGCAGCCGGGCUGACAAGUCAGAUGUGAAAUCCCGCGGCUCAACCGCGGAACUGCAUUUGAAACUGUUAGUCUUGAGUACCGGAGAGGUCAUCGGAAUUCCUUGUGUAGCGGUGAAAUGCGUAGAUAUAAGGAAGAACACCAGUGGCGAAGGCGGAUGACUGGACGGCAACUGACGGUGAGGCGCGAAAGCGUGGGGAGCAAACAGG